rnacentral:rRNA from 1 species
CCGUUGUACACACCGCCCGUCACACCAGUGGGAGGUGGGUUCACCAGAAGUAGGUAGUCUAACCGCAAGGGGACGCUACCACGUGAGAUUCAUGACUGGGGUG